ACGAACGCUGGCGGCGUGCUUAACACAUGCAAGUCGAACGGAAAGGCCCUGCUUUUGUGGGGUGCUCGAGUGGCGAACGGGUGAGUAACACGUGAGUAACCUGCCCUUGACUUUGGGAUAACUUCAGGAAACUGGGGCUAAUACCGGAUAGGAGCUCCUGCUGCAUGGUGGGGGUUGGAAAGUUUCGGCGGUUGGGGAUGGACUCGCGGCUUAUCAGCUUGUUGGUGGGGUAGUGGCUUACCAAGGCUUUGACGGGUAGCCGGCCUGAGAGGGUGACCGGCCACAUUGGGACUGAGAUACGGCUCAGACUCCUACGGGAGGCAGCAGUGGGGAAUAUUGCACAAUGGGCGGAAGCCUGAUGCAGCAACGCCGCGUGCGGGAUGACGGCCUUCGGGUUGUAAACCGCUUUCGCCUGUGACGAAGCGUGAGUGACGGUAAUGAGUAAAGAAGCACCGGCUAACUACGUG
rnacentral:rRNA from 1 species